UUACGGCAAUAUCAUGUUGAAACACCGGUUCUCGUACGAUCACCGAAGUUAAGCAACAUCGACUUUGGUCAGUACCUAGAUGGGUAACCGCAAGGGAAUACUAGGAUG